rnacentral:rRNA from 1 species
CACUAUCGUUAACUGAAUACAUAGGUUAACGAGGCGAACCGGGGGAACUGAAACAUCUAAGUACCCCGAGGAAAAGAAAUCAACCGAGAUUCCCCCAGUAGCGGCGAGCGAACGGGGAGCAGCCCAGAGUCUGAAUCAGCUUGUGUGUUAGUGGAACGGUCUGGAAAGUCCGACGGUACAGGGUGAUAGUCCCGUACACCAAAAUGCACAGGCUGUGAACUCGAAGAGUAGGGCGGGACACGUGGUAUCCUGUCUGAAUAUGGGGGGACCAUCCUCCAAGGCUAAAUACUCCUGACUGACCGAUAGUGAACCAGUACCGUGAGGGAAAGGCGAAAAGAACCCCGGCGAGGGGAGUGAAAAAGAACCUGAAACCGUGUACGUACAAGCAGUGGGAGCACCUUCGGGUGUGACUGCGUACCUUUUGUAUAAUGGGUCAGCGACUUAUAUUCUGUAGCAAGGUUAACCGUAUAGGGGAGCCGCAGGGAAACCGAGUCUUAACUGGGCGUUAAGUUGCAGGGUAUAGACCCGAAACCCGGUGAUCUAGCCAUGGGCAGGUUGAAGGUUGGGUAACACUAACUGGAGGACCGAACCGACUAAUGUUGAAAAAUUAGCGGAUGACUUGUGGCUGGGGGUGAAAGGCCAAUCAAACCGGGAGAUAGCUGGUUCUCCCCGAAAGCUAUUUAGGUAGCGCCUCGUGAACUCAUCUUCGGGGGUAGAGCACUGUUUCGGCUAGGGGGUCAUCCCGACUUACCAACCCGAUGCAAACUACGAAUACCGAAGAAUGUUAUCACGGGAGACACACGGCGGGUGCUAACGUCCGUCGUGAAGAGGGAAACAACCCAGACCGCCAGCUAAGGUCCCAAAGUCAUGGUUAAGUGGGAAACGAUGUGGGAAGGCACAGACAGCCAGGAUGUUGGCUUAGAAGCAGCCAUCAUUUAAAGAAAGCGUAAUAGCUCACUGGUCGAGUCGGCCUGCGCGGAAGAUGUAACGGGGCUAAACCAUGCACCGAAGCUGCGGCAGCGACACUAUGUGUUGUUGGGUAGGGGAGCGUUCUGUAAGCCUGCGAAGGUGUGCUGUGAGGCAUGCUGGAGGUAUCAGAAGUGCGAAUGCUGACAUAAGUAACGAUAAAGCGGGUGAAAAGCCCGCUCGCCGGAAGACCAAGGGUUCCUGUCCAACGU